rnacentral:snoRNA from 1 species
AAGACUAUACUUUCAGGGAUCAUUUCUAUAGUAUGUAAUAUACCUCUUUUAAUUAUUUCAUGCAUAAAUUUCAAAAUGAAUCAAUGGUAAUGC